AUAGGAACCACCCCCAGUUGUAAGAACCGCGAGAACCACUUUCAACCAAUCAGAUCAUGCCAACAUAAAGGAUAUUUUGGUCAUUUACCCCAAAUGUCAAAUCUCUCCUUCUCUCUCCAUUAAAUGUCAUCAGAGAUAUUAAAAUCUCACCUUUCUCUCUCUUCCAACUAUAAACCCCUCUCUCCUUAUUCUUAUUCUGAGUCUUCAUCAUCUUCAAAAUAUAAACCCUCUCUCCUCCUUAUUGUGAAUCUUAUCAUCCUCUCUCUCCUUGUAUUCUUUGGCAAACGACACCUCCACCCCCUUUCUUCUUGUAUUCUUCUCAUACAUCACCUAACUCACAAAACCCUCUUCUCAUUUGACCAAUCCUCUCAUACAUGACCAGAUUCCAAGGAUAGACAGAGAUCGAGAGAGUAUGACUGUUUGAAGGAGAGAGAAAAGGAUGGUGGUCGUGAUGUUACAGAUCUGGCAGUGGCGACGACAGCGCCGCCGCGACGGCGGCGGCGGUGCUCUGAUUUCCGGCGGGAUUCACCGUUCUGCACAGAGAGAGACGAAAAAAGGAGAUGCCGGUGUCGAGCUCCGGUGAGCUGCGGUGGCGGCAGACGGGAGCGCCGCCGUCUGCAGCGACGAUGGUGGUGGUGGUUUUUUUUGUAUUUUAAACUUGAAUCUUGUAGGGAUGUGACACCGUUUUCGUAACUCCAUAUUUAGCCGGUACAUAUUUUUUGGUUACAACGUAGAAGAAGGAGAUGCCGGUGUCGAGCUCCGAUGAGCUGCGGCGACGGCAGACGGGAGUGCUGCCGUCUGCAGCGACGUUGGUGGUGGAUUUUGUUGUUUUUCAGUUUUGCUCAGUUGGUUCAAAGAUGCGGGAUGUGUUUGGCUAGGAUUCGAGUUAUGUUCGGGAACCGGGUUUCAUUUCGGGUCAGCUCAAAAGAGUAGUUCAGAUUACGGGUUCGGGUUUUGGGACGAUAGCAGCCCGUUUGUUCCUCUCGAUCCUCCUCAUACCUCGGUUAGUAGUAUGUUGUCUUUGAAUAUUUGUGAUUCACUAUAAAUCUUGAUUAUAUGAUUCACUGUUUUAGAACAUGUGUUUAAAGAAUAUGUUGUGAUUGUGUAUUUGAGUUUGGUUGAUGACAUUAAGUUAUAGGAUUGAAA